ACAGGCAAGCAUGAAUUAAUUAUCAAAGGACAGUCCCGGAUUUGAACAAAAGUACUUCCAUGUGGCAUAAGUUGAUACCAACAGCUUUUACUCGAACAAUGCAAGGAAAUGUGUAACCAUCACAGCUAAUGUGGUUCCUGAAAAGACUUCGAGUUGGAAGAUUGAUGUGUAGCCCUCCCUGGGGUCUUUAUCUGCUUAUAGGCACCACGGAACCCUCAAAAGGAGCUGAUUCUUGCCGCUGCCGCUGUGGAGCUGCUACGAAACCGCCACAGAAAUCAACAGUCCCUCUGUGCUAGUCCAACCAGCCCUGGUCCUUUCGGAGUUUGCAGAACGAGCACUGUUUCCACAGAGAACAAAGAAUUUCCUAAGAGCAAUCUUCCAAAACUUCUGAAAGAAAAUGGGGCGCCACUUCAUCAACUCCACCUAAUCCAACUUGAUACAUUUGAACUACAAGUACCACACUGAAACCUGUUUGGGACUACAUCGCUCUACACAACUCCAGACUAACUGAUAAGGGGUACCUUCUACAAUCUGGCCAGGGUCUCAGACAGGAGCGUCAAUCAACAUCAGAACUUCAGCCAAGAUCUUCAAUCAAGCAUCUCUGGUCAAACAGAGACUGGAGUACAAAUGUUGUAACUAGUCCACUUGAGACUUUCACUACAUUAACAUUGUCUGCCUACAGGAUCCCUUGAGGUUAUCAUCGUCCCAUUUCAGCAGGAAGUAAUUUUGAGAACACCAUGCUCCCUUUCGCUACUGUUUAUAUUACAGGAUAAUUUACACCUGUUAUGGUUAGUUUUCAAUUAUUCAGAGUUUGGAUUGGAAGAAGGUGUUCAGACUUGGGCACCUCUUUCAGAU